CUCUUCUCUCUCAAAAAUAAACGUUAAAAAAAAGGUGGUCUGAUCAAGGUGCAAAGAUCAGUGCUGCCUUUUCGGAGGCCUCUCCGCUUGGCUU